rnacentral:rRNA from 1 species
AUUGAACGCUGGCGGCAGGCCUAACACAUGCAAGUCGAGCGGGGUUUUCGGACCUAGCGGCGGACGGGUGAGUAAUGCGUAGGAAGCUACCCGAUAGAGGGGGAUACCAGUUGGAAACGACUGUUAAUACCGCAUAAUGUCUACGGACCAAAGUGUGGGACCUUCGGGCCACAUGCUAUCGGAUGUGCCUACGUGGGAUUAGCUAGUUGGUGAGGUAAUGGCUCACCAAGGCGACGAUCCCUAGCUGGUUUGAGAGGAUGAUCAGCCACACUGGAACUGAGACACGGUCCAGACUCCUACGGGAGGCAGCAGUGGGGAAUAUUGGACAAUGGGCGCAAGCCUGAUCCAGCCAUGCCGCGUGUGUGAAGAAGGCCUUCGGGUUGUAAAGCACUUUCAGUAAGGAGGAAGCGUUGAGUGUUAAUAGUACUCAGCGUUGACGUUACUUACAGAAGAAGCACCGGCUAACUCUGUGCCAGCCGCCGCAGUAACAC